rnacentral:rRNA from 1 species
GAUGAACGCUGGCGGCGUGCCUAAUACAUGCAAGUCGAGCGAACAGAUGAGAAGCUUGCUUCUCUGAUGUUAGCGGCGGACGGGUGAGUAACACGUGGGUAACCUACCUAUAAGACUGGGAUAACUCCGGGAAACCGGGGCUAAUACCGGAUAAUAUUUUGAACCGCAUGGUUCAAUAGUGAAAGACGGUUUCGGCUGUCACUUAUAGAUGGACCCGCGCCGUAUUAGCUAGUUGGUAAGGUAACGGCUUACCAAGGCGACGAUACGUAGCCGACCUGCGAGGGUGCUCGGCCACGCUGGAACUGGGACACGGUCCAGACUCCGACGGGAGGCAGCAGUAGGGAAUCUUCCGCAAUGGGCGAAAGCCUGACGGAGCAACGCCGCGUGAGUGAUGAAGGUCUUCGGAUCGUAAAACUCUGUUGUUAGGGAAGAACAAAUUUGUUAGUAACUGAACAAGUCUUGACGGUACCUAACCAGAAAGCCACGGCUAACUACGUGCCAGCCGCCGCAGUAA